rnacentral:rRNA from 1 species
UGGGGGAUAUUGCACAAUGGGCGAAAGCCUGAUGCAGCGACGCCGCGUGGGGGAUGAAGGCUUUCGGGUUGUAAACCUCUUUCGCUAUCGAACAAGGCCCGCUUAGGGUGGGUUGAGGGUAGGUGGAGAAGAAGCGCCGGCUAACUACGUGCCAGCAGCCGCGGUAAUACGUAGGGCGCGAGCGUUGUCCGGAAUUAUUGGGCGUAAAGGGCUUGUAGGCGGCUUGUUGCGCCUGCUGUGAAAACGCGGGGCUUAACUUCGCGCGUGCAGUGGGUACGGGCAGGCUUGAGUGUGAUAGGGGUGACUGGAAUUCCAGGUGUAGCGGUGGAAUGCGCAGAUAUCUGGAGGAACACCGAUGGCGAAGGCAGGUCACUGGGCCAUUACUGACGCUGAGGAGCGAAAGCAUGGGUAGCGAACAGG